UACAGAGGUCCCAAGCGUUGUUCGGAUUCACUGGGCGUAAAGGGUGCGUAGGUGGCGAGGUAAGCCGGCUGUGAAAUCUUGGAGCUUAACUCCGAAACUGCAUUCGAUACUGCCGUGCUUGAGGACUGGAGAGGAGACUGGAAUUUACGGUGUAGCGGUGAAAUGCGUAGAUAUCGUAAGGAAGACCAGUGGCGAAGGCGGGUCUCUGGACAGUUCCUGACGCUGAGGCACGAAGGCCAGGGGAGCAAACGGG
rnacentral:rRNA from 1 species